CCUGGUUUCCAACCUACAACGAUUUCCCUCCCCCAAAUUAGAAGCCCUAUUCGAAUCGCUGCUGCCGUCCGUCUGCCUCCAUUGUUUCCGCCUCCAUUUGCGCCGUGAGCUCUCUCCCCCCCCUCUCUCUCUCUCUUUCUCUCUCUCUCUCUCUCAUUGCCAUCCGCCACAUCCUUGUCAGCUUCCUCAUUCCACUGUCGUUUUUGCCGUCGCCACCGCCACCGCCGCUCGCCGCCUGUCGCCCGCCACGCGCCGCUGUCGCUGCUUGUUGCUCCCACACCUUAGGAAUGUGAAGUGGAUGAUAGGAAUUGGAUUCAAAAGUCUGGGAUUGAGAAGAACACUGCAGAAAUUCUAGCAGCUGAAGAAAUUGAACUGAUCCUCUCUAAAUAGCAUUUACUUACUGCAAGAGUGGUAGGGUUCACAUGGGAGGUCAGGUCUUGUUUGAAGGAUCCUCCAUUCCGGAAUUCAUUGCUAGGUGAAAUUUGCCAAAAGCCAACAGAUUUAUUAGGGUGUUGUCAGCAAGCUGAGGCACAGUACUUCUACAUAAAGAAAACAUUGCCCUCAGAAAUUUUCUUGAGGAAGAGGCUGUUUGACUGUACUUCUCCUUUAAAUUCAGGCUCCACAGGAUCAACAAGAAGAACUGCUUCCGGUAUACCACUCCGCGCUUGACUCGUGAGAAGUGUAGGAAGAAGUCAAGAACAAGAAAAAAGAUUGAAAGAUUGUGA